rnacentral:rRNA from 1 species
GAUGAACGCUGGCGGCGUGCCUAAUACAUGCAAGUCGAGCGAACAGACGAGGAGCUUGCUCCUCUGACGUUAGCGGCGGACGGGUGAGUAACACGUGGAUAACCUACCUAUAAGACUGGGAUAACUUCGGGAAACCGGAGCUAAUACCGGAUAAUAUAUUGAACCGCAUGGUUCAAUAGUGAAAGACGGUUUUGCUGUCACUUAUAGAUGGAUCCGCGCCGCAUUAGCUAGUUGGUAAGGUAACGGCUUACCAAGGCAACGAUGCGUAGCCGACCUGAGAGGGUGAUCGGCCACACUGGAACUGAGACACGGUCCAGACUCCUACGGGAGGCAGCUGUAGGGAAUCUUCCGCAAUGGGCGAAAGCCUGACGGUGCAACGCCGCGUGAGUGAUGAAGGUCUUCGGAUCGUAAAACUCUGUUAUUAGGGAAGAACAAAUGUGUAAGUAACUAUGCACGUCUUGACGGUACCUAAUCAGAAAGCCACGGCUAACUACGUG